CUUUUCGGGCGGCGGGGAUGGAGAGUCGGUGGGAUCUCUUUACGGCCUCUGGACUGGAGGCCGAGCGCCCGCCCGCGGCCGAGCCCCGCGCCCGGCGUCUCCGCCCGGGGUGCUCUUCGCAGUUUCCUGGCUUGGAAGCCUCGGGAACAUGGCGAGGCAGCGGUGGUUUAACGGGAAGGACGGUGACUGUUAGCCUGUGAACGAAAGCGAGAGUGAGCCGCCUCACGCUCCGGACCAAGAAGAGAAGGCUGGGGAGGACCGAGGGAGCGGACAGGCACACGGCAAGCUUGGGUCCGGUGGGAUUGACCAGGAGACGUGGGAGGACAUUUAGGCGUCCUUGAGCACCUGUGACGCGCCUCCCUGGCUGGGGGCUGCUGAGCUGGAGUCCUGCGCCACCCAGCCUACAAACUCCUGACGUAAGGAGUCCCUUGAGGGAAGGCCAGAGGAUCCGGUUGACAGCGCUGCUGCAGGAAAACAGGGUUUGGGAGGAUUCGUUGAUCAGAUUCCAUCUCACAGAUCCCUGGGUGCGGCUGGUCCACGGGGGAGACAGCUGCAGGUGGGACUCUUCAGGACACGUGUCAGGGCAGAGUGAUCUUGAACUUGUGGCUGCUACUAGAUUUUUGCCCACACCUCCUCGUAUGCUGCGGCUUCUCCACUGGAGUGGGGCCAGGGUGACCGUGGACUUGCCGCAAGUCAGACGGCUGCAGGUCGCAGCAGGUCCAGUCUGUCCACCUUUGAGCGGCGGCGGCAUGUCCUUCCCCACCCUCGAUGACCCCCGCUGGCUUGACCCCCAGAAACUGCGUGGAGUGUUCGGGGGAUGAGGCUGAGGAGGCUUGUCUUUGCCUUCCGGAACCCCGCUCCUGUCCUGAGGUCUCCACCCAAGGUGGGAACCCCGGAGAGCAGCCUAGCAGCCACGCGCCGCCGGACUCGCGGGCAGUACAGAGCCUGGGAAAGCCACGGCCUCGGAAGUUGCUCUGAAGAACGAGCAGGCUCGUCGCGUCGCGUGUUGAGAAGCAGCAGUGGUGUGGAUCAGCAGGGUUGAGGCGGCGGCUGUGCGCGUCACGACAGAGACGUGAGCAGAGGCCGCGUGGCGCCCAGGGAGCCAGCGAUGACAGCCCGGCAACGGGCGGGGCGGGGGCAGGAAGGCGCCUGAAGGCAGCCGUGUCCGCCUGCAGUGGCAGCAGCCCCGCAGGCACCCCAGGGCAUGGUCCUGAAGUCCUCCAGCCGGGAGGUGCGGGAUCUUGUGUGCAGGCCCACCCCACAGGCCUGAGCUGUCUGGAUUAUCCCCCAGCCAAGGGGAGAAUGUCGAUGAGGUUUACGAAUUAGUCCUGAGAACGAGUGUCUCACGCUGAAACCUUGGGACCUGUGUUUCCAGCACAGGUUGUGACAGUGAGAGGAAAGAUCUGUCUUGGUGAAGGAGCAUGUCCCCAUGUUGGCAAAACUAUAAAGAAUAAACGGAUCUUG
rnacentral:lncRNA from 1 species